CUUUCUCUCUACUGUUAUUUAUAUUGGAGCUCCAGAGCUACAAUUUCCCUCCAGGUCCAGAGGGUACUGGGGAUCAAACUCGGGUCCUUGUGUUUGCCAGGCAGGCGACAGAACCACUGAGCCAAAUCCCCGGCCCUCCUGGGAUAAUCUUGAGUAAAAGUCACAGAAUGCCAAACAGCAAGGAAAGAUCCUUAAGGACCAGCCAGGCCUCAUAAAGGAAGAAGAAGACCAUAAGGCGGAC
rnacentral:lncRNA from 1 species